CCCUUCCAACCCUCCUCCCUCGCCUGCCGGUGUCCCUUUCUUCCCCCGUGUGGCGGCUCGCACCCGCACGAGAUCUAGACUACCUUCCCACCCUCCUCCCCUGCCCGCUCGCCUGUCGGCGUCCCUUUCUUCUCCCCGUGCGGCGGCCCGCGCCCGCACGAGAUCUAGACUAGACGCCGAGGGCACGACGCUUUGCCUGCCUCGCCUCCGUCCCCUCGUCGCCUCCACGACUCCACCUCUACCUCCUCGGUGAGAGAGAGAGAGAGCGGGGGAGAGAGGGCACUAGACCACCAGCAAGCAUGAGGCAGAGGAGGAGCGUGGCGGCGCCGCUACACUCUAAUCCGCUGGCUACCCCAUCAGGAGAGAGAGAGAGGGGGGAGAGAAGGCACCAGACACCGCCAGUAAGCAUGAGGCAGAGAAGGCACCAGACAUCGCGCUAUCCUCCGCAUCCGCCGCCCGUCGGCUUCGUCCGCUGCGAGAAUUCUCGUGUCGCCCAUCGGCGACAACUGUCCGGGUGCUGCAAGCCACCGACGGUGUGCGGGUACGCGUACGCGAGCCCGACGGCGUGGACGAGCCCGGCGGCGGACGCGGACUGCGUGGCGUGGAGCAACGACCCCGACCUGCUCUGCUACGCCUGCGCCUCAUGCAAGGCCGGCGUGCUGGGCGGCUUGCACGAGCAGUGGCGCAGGGCCACCAUCGCGCUCAUCUUCGUCUACGUCGUCGGCUGCAGCGCGUUCCGUAACGCGCAGACCGAGGACCUCUUCCGCCGCUACAAAUGGGGAAAUUAUUAACGAUCUCUCCCACUGAUCUACUGCGUACGUACGUACACGCCGACUUGAAACGGAGUCGGAAGGACGUGGAGGGUCGCUCUUAGUCAUCAAGAGGUUGUGAACUUGUGAUGACAAAAAUAACAUCCUGCUGAUAACCUCAAAUGGCCUGUCUACGAGAUGGAAAAUGGCCUGAUGAUAACCUCAAAAUUUUCUCCAUUAUGGGCAACAACUAUUGAGCAGCCAAGAUAUCAACAACGAAGAAUAACCAAUUUCGAAUUCACAUCAAUCAACAAUAGGACCUGUCCCUGAUCAACUUCAAAAGCGCUUAGGAAGACGUUUUCAGCUGAAAAGAAGAAAAGUAAAAUCCGGAAGGCAUGGGAUGGAACUAAAGUCAUUUAUAAUGUUGCUUCAUGGGGCACCACUGCUGUUGGGGUCUACAAUAAUCGAGCAUUACUUACGAUCGCAACUACAACGUUUCAGACUUCCUGCCGUGUGAUAUCCAAGUUCCUUUGAAUAUUGUGUCAACUACUAGGGCAUGUUAGAAUUGCUUGCGUGUGUGCUUUUCCAUUGUUCAGGUAGCAUAAAGUUUGAGACCAUUUGUUUAUUCUAUGCUGAUGAGUUCGACUGCUAAUUAGCAGGACCUUCCAGUCAAAAGCAGCAUGUGUAUUGUAUAACUGUAAAUAUUGCCUUGA